AGACAGCAGUCGCCACGGUAAUACAGAGGGUGCAAGCGUUAAUCGGAAUUACUGGGCGUAAAGCGCGCGUAGGUGGUUUGUUAAGUUGGAUGUGAAAGCCCCGGGCUCAACCUGGGAACUGCAUCCAAAACUGGCAAGCUAGAGUACGGUAGAGGGUGGUGGAAUUUCCUGUGUAGCGGUGAAAUGCGUAGAUAUAGGAAGGAACACCAGUGGCGAAGGCGACCACCUGGACUGAUACUGACACUGAGGUGCGAAAGCGUGGGGAGCAAACAGGAUUAGAUACCCGAGUAGUCCCUGUCUCUUAUAC
rnacentral:rRNA from 1 species